AUCGCUCCUUGGCCUUUUGGCUAAGAUCAAGUGUCGCAUCUGUUCUUCAGCUGUAUUAGUUCUAUGAUUUAACACAUUCAUGCAAAAAUUUAGUUUUGGAUUAUUUUUC
ensembl:snRNA U2 U2 spliceosomal RNA